ACCAAGACUCCACAUAAUUCUCCCAAGGAAUUCUGAUUACAGAGUGAUGGGGUCAAGACAUGAAUAAGACCUAACUCAAAGCCCAUGUGUUUGUCAUCAGCACUAUGUAUGCAUCCAGGUCAGACUGAGACGUUGGACAUGUCAGGUUCAGCGAAUGAAGGAUCCAGCAGGAGACUGGAGAACCUAAGGCAGGAGGGCUUGA